UAAAGGAUCGUUACAAUCUAAUUAUGGGUGAAAACUUUCACUACGGAACAAAAUUAUCCGUUGAAUUUGAUGUCAUGAAUUCAAUUACCUUAGUUGUCGAGCGCAAUGUCUAAAUAAAGUCCCUUACGAGCCAUUGGUAAUAUUAUUGGGCAAGUGAUGAAGAUUGACUACAACACCAACAAUGGGGCUCAGGGUCGCUUUGCAAGGAUGGCCAUGACCAGUGAUUUGUCAAAGUCUUUAGUGUCGAAGGUCCUAACUGAUGGGAAAUUGCAAUGAGUGGAAUAUGAGUCCUUG
rnacentral:lncRNA from 1 species